AGUGAACGCUGGCGGUAUGCCUAACACAUGCAAGUCGAACGGCAGCACAGUAAGAGCUUGCUCUUACGGGUGGCGAGUGGCGGACGGGUGAGGAAUACAUCGGAAUCUACUUUUUCGUGGGGGAUAACGUAGGGAAACUUACGCUAAUACCGCAUACGACCUACGGGUGAAAGCAGGGGAUCUUCGGACCUUGCGCGAUUGAAUGAGCCGAUGUCGGAUUAGCUAGGUGGCGGGGUAAAGGCCCACCAAGGCGACGAUCCGUAGCUGGUCUGAGAGGAUGAUCAGCCACACUGGAACUGAGACACGGUCCAGCCUCCUACGGGAGGCAGCAGUGGGGAAUAUUGGACAAUGGGCGCAAGCCUGAUCCAGCCAUACCGCGUGGGUGAAGAAGGCCUUCGGGUUGUAAAGCCCUUUUGUUGGGAAAGAAAAGCAGCAGGUUAAUACCCCGCUGUUCUGACGGUACCCAAAGAAUAAGCACCGGCUAACUUCGUG
rnacentral:rRNA from 1 species